CCUACGGGUGGCAGCAGUGAGGAAUAUUGGUCAAUGGGCUUACGCCUGAACCAGCCAAGUCGCGUGAGGGAAGACUGCCCUAUGGGUUGUACACCUCUUUUUUCAGGGAGCAACGCCGGCUACGUGUAGCCGGACUGAGAGUACCUGAAGAAAAAGCAUCGGCUAACUACGGGCCAGCAGCCGCGGUAAUACGGAGGAUGCGAGCGGUAUCCGGAUUUAGUGAGUUUAAAGGGUGCGUAGGCGGAAUAUCAAGUCAGCGGUAAAAAUUCGGGGCUCAACCCCGUCGUGCCGUUGAAACUGAUGUUCUUGAGGGGGCGAGAAGUAUGCGGAAUGCGUGGUGUAGCGGUGAGAUGCAUAGAUAACACGCAGAACUCCGAUUGCGAAGGCAGCAUACCGGCGCCCAACUGACGCUGAAGCACGAAAGCGUGGGUAUCGAACAGGAUUAGAUACCCUGGUAGUC
rnacentral:rRNA from 1 species